CAAGUUAACCUUAAGAGGCUUUAUUAUUUACAAUAAUAUAUGUGAAUUGUGCAAAUCAUUCUGGCUUGA
rnacentral:tRNA from 1 species